AAUUAGUGGACGGAUUUUCCGUUCCUCACCAUUAUCUGUCAGUGUGAUGCUAACAACAGAAGAAAGACAGCGAUGCAAGAUAGCGAGUUGUUCUAGUUCGUCGUGCUUUAUACUGUAUCUGCAUGUGGUGAAUUAAACUGCACUGCCAUAAUACAUACAGAUACAUGUACAAGCUUGUCCGGUAAUUUCCUACGUAAAGGUACAAACAGCACAUAUUUAGCGCUGAGUUUGUCCUAUGGCAAUUGCCAUUACACUACGUCGUAAAUUUGUGUAUUUCGCUGUAUUGAUUCGUAAGAAAUUACCGGACAAGCUUGUACCUCGGCUGGCGAUUUAGCAGACAGUCGGAUUCCGGGAUGCGGAACCCGUGUACAACCGCGAAAAUCCUGGCGCACGUUUGCCGAUUACCAAUGCUCAACAUCCAACGGCAGUUUAAAUUCCUUAGCAGCUGAGGUUUGCAAAAUAUCAUUGGUAGCAAACGGUGCGCUCCAGAAGGCGGCAUGCUAAACAUCGGUGGCAGCGAUUAAGUCUAGCGACGGCGCUCUGACCAAUUCCAGAAAAAAAUCUUUUGCUUUAUUCACAGGAGCUCCCAGGCCAAGCAAAAUCUGUUGCUUUACACCCGUCCUAGCUUUAUACAUCUCUUACCUGUUACGCUACCAAUGCAUUUCUACGAAGUAGAAAAAAGAUGGCACCAAUCGCCAACACGGCGUGUCUACGCGUGGAAUGCGGUGGACGUGCCAAUGAACGGUCUGCUGCAGCACGGUCACGUCAUCGGCCUGGAAGACACUGCGGACGCUGCACCACGUCUGAUCGUGGAUUUUGCAUGCCCGGCGCAGAACGCGGUGUUGGUCGAAUGGGGGACGGUUUUCGCGUGCUCGGACCAACGGGGAGCUGAAGAGCAGUGGACGAACCAGCUACUCACAGCAAAGAACCAGUUCUGCAGCGAUCCCGCCGAUGUGCAACUGCUUCUACGCACACAUCCCGGUGGUCCAUGGGCGUGGUUUCCCGGGAAGCUUUUGAUAGCCGGGUUCGAGCCACACGCGGAGAAUAACACGGAGGCUCGCCAUUACGCGUUGGUAGAAGUGCUACUAGCCGGGCAACGUAUCCGCGAGAUCCUGCCUCGCUCGCAGAUCCGCGUGCCGCCGUCGGAGGAGGAACUCCAGCGCCGAGUUCUGAAGCCGGGUCACUUUGUCCACAGAACGUGCACGGCGUCCGCUGAGUAUUGGGCGCAUCCUUGGCCGCACCGAAGGCGCUGGUUCCGCUACGCGUUGGAGGAAAGGCAUCGUUUGCGCUGGCUGUCCUUCGUCGACAACGAAAUAACCUUUCUGCAGCGAACGACUGAGUCGCCGGUGGUGGAUGCCGAUACGGUAGCCGACUGCGCGUGACCGUCAGCUCCGCAAACCUCAUACAUGCUAUACAGUGCUUAAAACAACUUGCGCGAUGCCCGGACGGGGAAAGCAGCGGUCGGACUUGCUAGCGGUACAACUGGGACUGGAGGGAUGGAACGAAUAAUCCAGGAAGCGACGCGCAAUUCGUCCAGUGACAAGAUUCAUCUCGUGUUUGAGCGUCCGGCACCGAGCGCCAAACGUAAAAUGAUCAUAGUGAUACGCGCCGACUCCGGCGGCAGCGCCAGCUUCCGUGCGCCGUGCACAACACGACCUUCAGCUAUCCGCAGCACUACCCGGACAUCUACUGGACGCAUAACAAACGCUCCAUAGCCUUCAUUAGCGGCUAUCGCCUCGGCAACGCCGGCAUCUUCGACCUCUACGUUGGUGCAUGGUCCCUCCCAUCACCGACGUCCGACCUCGCCGUUGCUACCAUGACGCUGACCCUGAAGAACGUCGCGUGGAAAGACAACGGCGACGUGGUGUGUUCCCAGCCCUGCUACCUGCCCCCGCCGGUGAAGCCUACACCCCUCCCCAUCGUCACCGGGACUGCAAAUGGCGUGACCUUCUGCGCGGGCGAUCACCAGUACUUCCGCUUGCAGGUCUUCCCCUCCGCCAGCGAACUCUUCCCGGUUCCCAUGUCCAACGUCAGCGUCCGUCGGAAAUCGGACGCCCAGAUCGCCUGCGUCGCCAACCGUCUGGAGGGAAACAGCCCGGCGUUUAUUUGGCGUUUCAACGGCCACCUGAUCGCCGCUCCCGCGGGUCAUCCCAUGCAAGCUUUGGUCCGAAUUCUGGUGACCCGUCUCGGGAAAUUCGCGCCGACGCAACACUUCCCUCUGGCCGGCAUCUCCAACGCGAAGGAGUUCAACUUUGGCGUCUCCUACAGCUACACGGUGACGACGGUCACCAGCACGUUGUCCAUCAGUAGCGUGGACUUCCACACGUCGGCACGCGUGGAGUGCUGGGUGCGGCCCGAUGAGAUUCAGGAGGUGUGGCGCCGGCAGACCGCGUUCCUCCAUGUUUCAACUAUUCCGGCGGCUUAAUCUGCAUAACGGGCCGCUGACAUCUGUGCAGCGUCGUUUCAUCUGACGUCUCUCAUUGCACUACUGCUGAUCGUAUCUGGACGUUGAUCUUUUAUCGGUGACAUGUUAAUAUGUGUUGGACCUGUUGGUCAUCUCCCGGUUUUCCUUGUGUUAGUCAUCUCCUUGUAACAGGUUGCGAUUCGGAUGUUCAGCGGUAUAAAGAGGCGCUGCGUAUCGUUACUGCAGUCAUUAUGUGCUACUUGAUUUCUGCUUGUGCCAGGAACAUACGGAUACGACUGGUUUGCGGAAUUAUUUUAGCUUAGUUCUUGGUGCAAAUGUUUUGCGUCCAGAAUUAUAUAAAAUGCUAC